GGUUAAGUUAUUAAGGGCGCAUGGUGAAUGCCUUGGCACUAGGAGCCGAUGAAGGACGGGACUAACACCGAUAUGCCACGGGGAGCUGUAAGUGAGCUUUGAUCCGUGGAUUUCCGAAUGGGGGAACCCAACCUACGGUUGUAGGUUAUCAACUGAUGAAUACAUAGUCAGCUUGAUGGUAAACGCUGUGAACUGAAACAUCUCAUUAGCAGUAGGAGCAGAAAGAAAAAUCGAUUCCGGUAGUAGCGGCGAGCGAACGCGGAAAAGCCCAAACCAGUGUGCUUGCACACUGGGGUUGUAGGACUGUCGUUGUGGAGUUACAAAGUGAUUAAUUAGCAGAAGCAGUUGGGAAGCUGCGCGAAACAGGGUGAUAGCCCCGUAUGCGAAAGUUAGUCACCUCCCGUACAGGAUCCUGAGUACGACCGGACACGUGAAAUCCGGUCGGAAUUUGCGAGGACCAUCUCGUAAGGCUAAAUACUCCCUAGUGACCGAUAGUGAACCAGUACCGUGAGGGAAAGGUGAAAAGCACCCCGGAAGGGGAGUGAAAUAGUUCCUGAAACCAUGUGCCUACAAGAAGUCAGAGCCCGUUAAUGGGUGAUGGCGUGCCUUUUGUAGAAUGAACCGGCGAGUUACGAUAGCAUGCAAGGUUAAGGUGGAAAGACCGGAGCCGUAGCGAAAGCGAGUCUGAAAUGGGCGUUUAAAGUAUGGUGUUGUAGACCCGAAACCAGGUGACCUAUCCAUGUCCAGGGUGAAGGUGCGGUAAAACGCACUGGAGGCCCGAACCCGUGUACGUUGAAAAGUGCUGGGAUGAGGUGUGGAUAGCGGUGAAAUUCCAAUCGAACUUGGAGAUAGCUGGUUCUCUCCGAAAUAGCUUUAGGGCUAGCCUCGGAAUAGAGCGUGUUGGAGGUAGAGCACUGUUUUGGUGCGGGGCCCAUCUCGGGUUACCAAAUUAAGAUAAACUCCGAAUGCCAAUCACGUAUAUCCGGGAGUCAGACAGUGAGUGAUAAGAUCCAUUGUCGAAAGGGGAACAGCCCAGAUCGUCAGUUAAGGUCCCUAAGUGUGUGUUAAGUGGAAAAGGAUGUGGAGUUGCAUAGACAACUAGGAUGUUGGCUCAGAAGCAGCCACCAUUUAAAGAGUGCGUAAUAGCUCACUAGUCGAGUGAUUCUGCGCCGAAAAUGUACCGGGGCUAAACACACCACCGAAACUACGGGUGCCACGUAAGUGGCGCGAUAGGAGAGCGUUCUAUGGGCGAAGAAGUCAGACCGUGAGGACUGGUGGAGCGCAUAGAAGUGAGAAUGCCGGUAUGAGUAGCGAAAGACAGGUGAGAAUCCUGUCCACCGAAUGACUAAGGUUUCCUGGGGAAGGCUCGUCCUCCCAGGGUAAGUCGGGACCUAAGGCGAGGCUGAGAAGCGUAGUCGAUGGCCAACAGGUUGAGAUUCCUGUACCAGGUGAAGAUGUUUGAACAAUGGAGGGACGCAGAAGGCUAACAGAACCCAGCAGUUGGAAAGGCUGGGCCAAAUCAUAAGUCUGACGUUGAGUUAAAUGCUUGACGUCGUCAAGGACAAGUGAUGAUGGGGACCGAAUUAAGUAGGGAAGUCUGCGAUGUCACGCUGCCAAGAAAAGCUUCUAGUGAGUCUUUACCUGCCCGUACCGCAAACCGACACAGGUAGUCGAGGAGAGUAUCCUAAGGUGAGCGAGUGAACUCUCGUUAAGGAACUCGGCAAAAUGACCCCGUAACUUCGGAAGAAGGGGUGCUCAGCGCAAGCUGAGCCGCAGUGAAUAGGCCCAGGCGACUGUUUAUCAAAAACACAGGUUUCUGCAAAAUCGUAAGAUGACGUAUAGGGGCUGACGCCUGCCCGGUGCUGGAAGGUUAAAAGGAGUGCUUAGCGCAAGCGAAGGCACGAAUUGAAGCCCCAGUAAACGGCGGCCGUAACUAUAACGGUCCUAAGGUAGCGAAAUUCCUUGUCGGGUAAGUUCCGACCCGCACGAAAGGCGUAACGAUCUGGGCACUGUCUCAACGAGAGACUCGGUGAAAUUUAAAGACCCGUGAAGAUGCGGGUUACCCGCGACAGGACGGAAAGACCCCAUGGAGCUUUACUGUAGCUUGAUAUUGAGUGUUUGUGCAGCUUGUACAGCAUAGGUAGGAGCCGUAGAAAUCGGAACGCUAGUUUCGAUGGAGGCGCAACUGGGAUACUACCCUCGUUGUAUGACCACUCUAACUCAC
rfam:Weissella halotolerans DSM 20190 Scaffold7, whole genome shotgun sequence.